ACUUUGGGUCUGUCUUUUCAAACAAGAGCUGCAGAAAACGUUAUAGCAAGGUCGAAGCUUUAUUCCACUCUGACUCACCCAGAAAGCACAACCCUGAUUUUGCAUAAGAACAGCUAUCAACAGACCCUAAAACGUGAGUCCUAUUGGUUUGUGCUAUUGAAUUCUACUUUGCUAUAUAAAUGAUCUUGUGAUAAGAUAUGGCUUUUAUUUCAUAAUUAAAAUCUUGACCAAGUAUAAAUGUAGACUGUAAGAAGUGCAGAAAGGAAGAAUUGAUAUGUUUGUUACAUUCUUUAGUUUAAAAGAUUCUAGUAGUUAGUAGCUACUUAACUCUGAAGCAGAUAUUGUGCUAUUCAUUGAUAGUUGUUUUAAAGCAGAUAGCUUUACAGAGUUUUGAUGUUCCAAUUUCUUUAUGGUUGAUAAAAAUAUAUAAAUAUAAUAUUCCUUACAACUAAGCAUUUCCAUGCUAUUUUGUACAUGAUUUACUUUUCUAUGAUCAAUAUCCCUAAGUAUUUAGAGCAUGUAUUUAGCAUCUCAGUUUUUCUCGGAGAUUUUACAAAUGGAAUAAGUGCUGGGUCAAAGACAAAAGGCUUGGUGCACUUUUCUUCUCAGUUCUAUCACAGAUCUGACUUUUAGCUACUUAAUAAUUUUUGGUAUCUCUUCUCUCUGGCCUCUGAUAAGUUGUCUUUGAUAACCUGCUGUUUUGUUCUUGAGCUUUGCCAUGGCUACAACUCUGGGGUAUCAGAACUGUCAAAAAUAAAAGUAAAAGAGCAAGAAUCGUGGAGCUUAUGAAAGUUAGAGAAGACAUAAGGCCUGGUAUCGACAGAUGAAUUUUCCACUGGCAGGUAGUUUUCACUUUAUCCCAUUUGCUGUCACAGUACACAGUACCUGAAAUAAUAAGGGGAUUUUUUUUUCCCGAAUAAUGGACGAUAGGGGCUGUUUGCUUUGUGAGAAUCUGCCAAGGCAGCAUGCCAUGUGGCUUUAUCUUUGAAAGUGAGGGUAAAACAAGCUUGCUGAGCUGCAGAUAAGGGACUUAGAAGGAAUUCUAUUCAGAUGUACCUGUCACUAAUUUAUCUGGAGGUUUUGUGAUUCAUACAUACUGCUCUAUGUGCGAUGAGGCAUUAAAUUGGUUUCCUCUGGGAGCAGGUCACAUUCAGGGGUCCUCAGACCUACGCUUGUGGUAUGGUGCAUGCCUGAUUCAUAUAGCCUAUUGCUACUCAAUUUUUAUCUAUUAGAGAGCUGGUAAGUUGAACAUAUGUUAGAUGAUCUCUUGGAACAUUUCAACAGCAAAGGGAGAUUGACAGAAACUUAACUAUCUAUUAAUAUGCACAUGUUUCUAACAAAAAUUAAUCAAACUUUCUGAUGUUAGUACAUUUAUUAUGAUAAUUAAGUAGUUAUACAUAUGUUUCCCAAUAACGGCCUAGCUCUUUAUGAAUGCAUUUCCAUAGCUCCUUUAUUUAUUGGAACAAAGGGAUAUGUACUUAAGUGCAUCAUUUUAUCCUGGAAAAAAAAAUGCAGAGCUGAUUUGAAACAGGUUUCACGAAAGGAAAAAUUUCAGAAAACAUAUAGAGUUUUCCCAUUUACAUUAUAGUUUUCUACUGUGGCAAUUCUGCUUCAUUACUCAAUAUAUUUUGAAAAAAAUGUCAUACCUUAGAAAAUGAAAUAGAUACUGGUUCAAAUUUGAAAGGAAUAUAAAUGGAAGAGAUGCUUAUUUAUUGUUAACAUUGUGCUGAGAGGUUUUUACACUGACCUCUUUUUUUUUUGGAUGUGAGAUAUUUUAGCAAAUGCAAAAAAAAAAAAAAAA
rnacentral:lncRNA from 1 species